GAUGAACGCUGGCGGCGUGCCUAAUACAUGCAAGUCGAGCGAACAGACGAGGAGCUUGCUCCUCUGACGUUAGCGGCGGACGGGUGAGUAACACGUGGAUAACCUACCUAUAAGACUGGGAUAACUUCGGGAAACCGGAGCUAAUACCGGAUAAUAUAUUGAACCGCAUGGUUCAAUAGUGAAAGACGGUUUUGCUGUCACUUAUAGAUGGAUCCGCGCCGCAUUAGCUAGUUGGUAAGGUAACGGCUUACCAAGGCAACGAUGCGUAGCCGACCUGAGAGGGUGAUCGGCCACACUGGAACUGAGACACGGUCCAGACUCCUACGGGAGGCAGCAGUAGGGAAUCUUCCGCAAUGGGCGAAAGCCUGACGGAGCAACGCCGCGUGAGUGAUGAAGGUCUUCGGAUCGUAAAACUCUGUUAUUAGGGAAGAACAAAUGUGUAGGUAACUAUGCACGUCUUGACGGUACCUAAUCAGAAGGCCACGGCUAACUACGUG
rnacentral:rRNA from 1 species